ACCGAAGGGCCUAUGAUGAAAAUUAAAUACGCCAUCGACAAAGAUAGCACAGCGACGUCACACACGCUGCGAUACUGGAACAAGAAAGAAAAGUGCGGCAUUUUUACUCGCCCAGACAGCACAUGCGAGCAGCGCGUCUGGAAACCGAAGAUUCAGAGCACGCUUGAGUGUGAUAAAGUGUACAAAACGCUUUGUCCUGGUUGGAGCGCCCAGGUCUACAAAUACAGCUGCGUAAAUCCAAACGUUAUUUGCGUUGGUAUCCAGAAUUGCUGAAAGUAACAAGUGCAACCAAAUAAACGUGCUUACUGUUAUGCUCCCAAGUACUCACAAUAUGCAUAAGUCGUUAACACUCGCCGGUACAAUCACAUGCGCAAUCCCAUUUCUCCACCCACAUCGAUCACUGCUUGCCUUCAAAUGCAUUAUAAAUCAGUGUACCCACCACACAGUCAUCUGUGUUGCUUAAAGUUAAAGUAGCACUAUUAUGUACUUUCUAAGGCCUCAUUGGUGACGUGAGAAAAAUGUCACAGGCCUAUGCGGCAGACGCAACAGUCACAGCGUAAGCUGAUGGAGCGGCUCAAGAGUAUAGCUCCAAUUUCGACACCACGCACAACGGGGUCUUCGCCGCGACAGUCACUUUGCUUCGAUUUGACUGAGAACAAUGAAGUGUCCGCCCGGCGUCGGCGGUGAGGUGUGGCUUGUAAUGCUCUCUGCACAACUACCAGCUGAGCCCGAUGAUGCCUGGUUGCAGCCGCGCACGUAACUCUAGGAUUCGCUUCUUCUGCAGCGGCUCGUACGUUGCGGGGAAAUGCCGUAACGUGUACCGAAUAGGUAUCCAGAAUACGUGGCGCACAUCUCACAACCCUUGACCCGUGCCAUGG